rnacentral:rRNA from 1 species
UCCUGGCUCAGGAUGAACGCUAGCGGCAGGCUUAACACAUGCAAGUCGAGGGGUAUAGUUCUUCGGAACUAGAGACCGGCGCACGGGUGCGUAACGCGUAUGCAAUCUACCUUUUACAGAGGGAUAGCCCAGAGAAAUUUGGAUUAAUACCUCAUAGUAUUACGACUCGGCAUCGAGAUGUAAUUAAAGUCACAACGGUAAAAGAUGAGCAUGCGUCCCAUUAGCUAGUUGGUAAGGUAACGGCUUACCAAGGCUACGAUGGGUAGGGGUCCUGAGAGGGAGAUCCCCCACACUGGUACUGAGACACGGACCAGACUCCUACGGGAGGCAGCAGUGAGGAAUAUUGGACAAUGGGCGCAAGCCUGAUCCAGCCAUGCCGCGUGCAGGAUGACGGUCCUAUGGAUUGUAAACUGCUUUUAUACGAGAAGAAACACUACU